rnacentral:lncRNA from 1 species
UUGACUAUAGUGAGCGUUCUGGGUCCACUCUUUAAACGUUUGGGAUCGGAUUCUAAUUUUUUUUUUUUUUUUUUUUUUUUUUUAUUCUUGACCACAUACGGUUUUUAUGGAAAUUUUGUUAUAUUGAUGGUAAUUUAUUAUUUCAUCUUUAAUUUUUUUUCCGCUUCGUUUCUUCCCGAUCGAGAAAACCACAGCGACCUCACAAACGCUCCUCCUCUAAAAAAAAACGAAGGGGAUUCUCGUAAAUUGGAUGAAACAAAUGGUGACAGCGAAUCCUACUUUCCUCAUCCCUCGGUCCAUUCUAACUCCAACAAAUUCACGCAACUUCUGUGCUCAUUCUCCCUGAUCGCCUUCGUCCGAUUCUAACCUAUGCUUCCCCGUCGUCAAUCGCCAUCCAUGGAAAUCCUUCGGAUGGAUACAGAAGAAACGUUGACAUCUGUCUCAUCAAUUCUUCCAAAAAGGUCCGUUUUUGUUUCUCCAACGAAGAUCAUCAUGACCCGAAUUUGUCUUUCUUCUGAUAUAUUUCAGUAGCGCACACGAUUUUCGACUGAUUGGAGUAAUAAUUUUACGCAGAUUUUUUGUAUGAUGUUGUUCUUUGUACAAAGUAUUUGAGUUUUAAAUGAUACAAAGUAUUUGAGUUUUAAAUGAUACAAAGUAUUUGAGUUUUAAAUGAUAUAACUUCUUUUCAAACUGGAUGCUGGUUAUCGUUUUCUUAACUGUAAACGUUAUGUUUGAGUUCAUAAACAGAUUAGAAGUUGUGUGGGACAGUUUUAAAAUGUACUUAACUCUUUUUAGGGACUUUAGUAAUUAGUACCCACCAAGUGUUUGACAAAAUGUCACAAUUCAUUUAAAUAAAUUAGAGUCAAAGAUUUGAGUUUUUUGGGUUUUGGAUGCUUUGGUUGAGAUUUUCGUAACUCUUUUUAACAAUAUUUCACCGAAUUGAAAUUUAAUUUUGUCUGAGAACUAAUCAUGUGAUGUGACACUUGUUUCAUAUGUAUCAUGUUACAGGUUGCUCGGGAUAUAGAUAUAAUAUCAUCACAAUAUGUUGUCAUCUCAUCAGAAGGUUAAUCCAAAAUGAGUGAUUGUUGGAGGAUAAUUCCUCAUUAAAUGUGCUUCUUGUUUUGUCAACCUCCACAAUUUUCUCAUUUGUUUUCAUAGAUUUUGUUGAAUUAGCUGAUUGAUAUGAAAUGCAGGUUAUGUUAAUAACAACAUGUUUUUUAAUAGGUGGUUAAAAGGGGUGGAAUGGUUUGUUAGCAUCUAUCAAGUUUAGAAUCUGAAUAAACGUUUAUUCUUUUUGGUUAAAUGCAUUAAAUAACAAUGUACUCUCAUUGGUUAAUAAUGUAUUACUAAUAUAUUAUAGCAUAACACUUUCAUUUAUUCCUAUUACCACAAUAUUCUUUAAAAAUAUAUCACUUAUAGCAAUGUUAUCCAAAUAUAGAUUAAUAGAAC